GAAAUGCGAUAAUUAAUGUGAAUUGCAGAAUUCAGUGAAUCAUCGAGUCUUUGAACGCACAUUGCGCCCCCUGGUAUUCCGGGGGGCAUGCCUGUCCGAGCGUCAUUGCUGCCCUCAAGCACGGCUUGUGUGUUGGGCUUCCGUCCCUGGCAACGGGGACGGGCCCAAAAGGCAGUGGCGGCACCAUGUCUGGUCCUCGAGCGUAUGGGGCUUUGUCACCCGCUCCCGUAGGUCCAGCUGGCAGCUAGCCUCGCAACCAAUCUUUUUAACCAAGUUGACCUCGGAUCAGGUAGGGAUACCCGCUGAACUUAAGC
rnacentral:misc_RNA from 1 species